rnacentral:tRNA from 1 species
GCUUCGAUGAUGGAAAUGGCUUACAUGAUCGGCUUAGACCCGAUUUUAUACGAGUUCGAAUCUCGUUCGAAGUA